rnacentral:rRNA from 1 species
GACGAGAAGGACAAGUGUUAUUCCCCUCUGAUUUGGUGUAAAGGGCUUCUAGGCUGUCCUAGCCGUUAAGGGUGAAAGCUCAAGCAUCAACUUGAAAGAGCCCUUAAGACGUAGGACUGAGCGUUUGUCGUAAGGAGUGCACGGGGCUGGAAGUAAAGGUUAAAUUUUGUGAGAUCCAGCAAGGUGCCAAAGGCGAAAGCAGCACUCUACAGCAAACGGACGCUGAAGAGCAAAAGCAUGGGGAUCGAUGCGG